UACGAAGGGGGCUAGCGUUGUUCGGAAUUACUGGGCGUAAAGGGCGCGUAGGCGGCGUGUCAAGUCAGGCGUGAAAGCCCCGGGCUCAACCUGGGAACCGCGCUUGAGACUGGCAUGCUCGAGUUCGGGAGAGGAUGGUGGAAUUCCCAGUGUAGAGGUGAAAUUCGUAGAUAUUGGGAGGAACACCAGUGGCGAAGGCGGCGAUCUGGGAAGAUACUGACGCUGAGGUGCGAAAGCGUGGGGAGCAAACAGG
rnacentral:rRNA from 1 species